rnacentral:misc_RNA from 1 species
AACACUGUUAACCUGCGGUACCUGCGGAGGGAUCAUUACAGAGUGUUUAACCCCCUAUAAAAUGGUGGGUCUAACCUCCCGUCCUUUGCCGGGUCCCCCUUCUGGAGGACUUUCAAAACUUUCUGCUUCGGCGGGGUAUACCCGCCGGAACACCCUCAAAAAAUUCUUGAUCAAAAUGGUUCGGUCCGAGAAACUUUUUGUGAAAAUUAGCGAAAAACUUUCAACAACGGAUCUCAGAUC